rnacentral:lncRNA from 1 species
UUUGGACUCUGUGUUGUGGACUCUGUGUUGGACUCUGUGUUGUGGACUCUGUGUUGGACUCUGUGUUGUGGACUCUGUGUUGGACUCUGUGUUGGACUCUGUGUUGUGGACUCUGUGUUGGACUCUGUGUUGAACUCUGUGUUGGACUCUGUGUUGGACUCUGUGUUGGACUCUGUGUUGUGGACUCUGUGUUGUGGACUCUGUGUUGGACUCUGUGUUGAACUCUGUGUUGUGGACUCUGUGUUGGACUCUGUGUUGGGCUCUGUGUUGGACUCUGUGUUGUGGAUUCUGUGUUGGACUCUGUGUUGGACUCUGUGUUGUGGACUCUGUGUUGGGCUCUGUGUUGUGGACUCUGUGUUGUGGACUCUGUGUUGGACUCUGUGUUGGACUCUGUGUUGUGGACUGUGUGUUGGACUCUGUGUUGUGGACUCUGUGUUGUGGACUCUGUGUUGGACUCUGUGUUGUGGACUCUGUGUUGGACUCUGUGUUGUGGACUCUGUGUUGUGGACUGUGUGUUGGACUCUGUGUUGUGGACUCUGUGUUGGACUCUGUGUUGGACUCUGUGUUGUGGACUCUGUGUUGGACUCUGUGUUGUGGACUCUGUGUUGGACUCUGUGUUGUGGACUCUGUGUUGGACUCUGUGUUGGACUCUGUGUUGGACUCUGUGUUGUGGACUCUGUGUUGUGGACUCUGUGUUGGACUCUGUGUUGGACUCUGUGUUGUGGACUGUGUGUUGGACUCUGUGUUGUGGACUCUGUGUUGUGGACCCUGUGUUGGACUCUGUGUUGUGGACUCUGUGUUGUGGACUGUGUGUUGGACUCUGUGUUGUGGACUCUGUGUUGGGACUCUGUGUUGUGUUGGACUCUGUGUUGGACUCUGUGUUGGACUCUGUGUACUCUGUGUGACUCGUGUGUACUCUUGGGACUCUGUGUUGUGGACUCUGUGUUGGACUCUGUGUUGUGGACUCUGUGUUGGACUCUGUGUUGUGGACUCUGUGUUGUGGACUGUGUGUUGGACUCUGUGUUGUGGACUCUGUUUGGACUUUGGACUCUGUGUUGGACUCUGUGUUGUGGACUCUGUGUUGACUCUGUACUUGUGUUGUGGACUCUGUGUUGGACUCUGUGUUGCGUGUUGGACUCUGUGUUGUGGACUCUGUGUUGGACUCUGUGUUGUGGUGGGUGUUGGUUGUUUGUAGCCGUUAGCAGACUCCAUUUAUGA